rnacentral:rRNA from 1 species
UGCGCCCUACGGGGGGCAGCAGUGGGGAAUAUUGGGCAAUGGGCGCAAGCCUGACCCAGCAACGCCGCGUGAAGGAAGAAGGCUUUCGGGUUGUAAACUUCUUUUCUCAGGGACGAAGAAAGUGACGGUACCUGAGGAAUAAGCCACGGCUAACUACGUGCCAGCAGCCGCGGUAAUACGUAGGUGGCAAGCGUUAUCCGGAUUUACUGGGUGUAAAGGGCGUGUAGGCGGGGAAGCAAGUCAGAUGUGAAAACCACGGG